rnacentral:rRNA from 1 species
GAUGAACGCUGGCGGCGUGCCUAAUACAUGCAAGUCGAGCGAACGGACGAGAAGCUUGCUUCUCUGAUGUUAGCGGCGGACGGAUGAGUAACACGUGGAUAACCUACCUAUAAGACUGGGAUAACUUCGGGAAACCGGAGCUAAUACCGGAUAAUAUUUUGAACCGCAUGGUUCAAAAGUGAAAGACGGUCUUGCUGUCACUUAUAGAUGGAUCCGCGCUGCAUUAGCUAGUUGGUAAGGUAACGGCUUACCAAGGCAACGAUGCAUAGCCGACCUGAGAGGGUGAUCGGCCACACUGGAACUGAGACACGGUCCAGACUCCUACGGGAGGCAGCAGUAGGGAAUCUUCCGCAAUGGGCGAAAGCCUGACGGAGCAACGCCGCGUGAGUGAUGAAGGUCUUCGGAUCGUAAAACUCUGUUAUUAGGGAAGAACAUAUGUGUAAGUAACUGUGCACAUCUUGACGGUACCUAAUCAGAAAGCCACGGCUAACUACGUG